UACGGGGGGGGCAAGCGUUGUUCGGAAUUACUGGGCGUAAAGGGCUCGUAGGCGGCCAACUAAGUCGGAUGUGAAAUCCCCAGGCUCAACUUGGGAACUGCAUCCGAUACUGGAUGGCUUGAAUUCGGGAGAGGGAUGCAGAAUUCCAGGUGUAGCGGUGAAAUGCGUAGAUAUCUGGAGGAACACCGACGGCGUAGGCAGCGCCCUGGACGACACCUGACGCUGAGGCACGAAAGCUGGGGGAGCGAACAGG
rnacentral:rRNA from 1 species